UACGAAGGGGGCUAGCGUUGCUCGGAAUCACUGGGCGUAAAGGGUGCGUAGGCGGGUCUUUAAGUCAGGGGUGAAAUCCUGGAGCUCAACUCCAGAACUGCCUUUGAUACUGAGGAUCUUGAGUUCGGGAGAGGUGAGUGGAACUGCGAGUGUAGAGGUGAAAUUCGUAGAUAUUCGGAAGAACACCAGUGGCGAAGGCGGCUCACUGGCCCGUUACCGACGCUCAGGCGCGACAGCGCUGGGGAGGCAAACAGG
rnacentral:rRNA from 1 species